AUUUCCCUCGACGAGAAGCAGCAAG
rnacentral:piRNA from 1 species